rnacentral:rRNA from 1 species
CAGCCGCCGCGGGAAAACGUAGGGUCCGAGCGUUGUCCGGAAUUAUUGGGCGUAAAGAGCUCGUAGGCGGUUCGUCGCGUCUGCCGUGAAAUCCUCAGGCUCAACCUGAGGCGUGCGGUGGGUACGGGCGGACUAGAGUGCGGUAGGGGAGAAUGGAACUCCUGGUGUAGCGGUGGAAUGCGCAGAUAUCAGGAAGAACACCGAUGGCGAAGGCAGUUCUCUGGGCCGUAACUGACGCUGAGGAGCGAAAGCGUGGGGAGCGAACAGGAUUAGAUACCCCCGUAGUCCCUGUCUCUUAUAC